AAUACGACUUAGGGUCCUUCAAGAAGCGAGCCUAUCAUUUCCUUAAAGGCCGGCCACGCAUCUGUAUGUAUUAGCUGAAUAUUUAUUAAAGUAUUCUGAAUAUUUUUUUUUAAUAAAAAUCCCUGCACUUAAGACACUUUUUCAAUUUAGGGGGUGAAUAAAUUCGUUGUCAUUAUUAAGUUUUUACAUUUGCAAAUAAAAGUUUUACAGAGUGUGAACACAAAAAAAAAGUAUUUAUAUAGUUAUGCGGACGAAGAAUCUCGGGAACAGCUAUUAAUUAAUAUAAAUAUAUUUAGCAGAUUCAAAAAAAUCAAACGAAGCGUACCCGCAGGCGGCCCGCUGGCGCGUGGAAUAUUAGAGAUCAAGACGAGUGUGAAUUCUGCCGAUUUACGUUGUUUCUCUCUAAAGUGCGAGGAUUAAGAGAGGCGCAGCGGUCAAUGUGCCUCAAACAUGCUCUACAGUUACUAGAUAUAAUUAAGCACGAGAAUCGUGAUUUGUCCGGCGUAGAACUAGAAAUAAACCUCUCUGAUGCAGAAUUAAAAGAUUUGAUAUCAAAUAUGGAUUCAUAGAGGUAUUCUAAAGCCAUACCUAAUAGGAUAUUAGUAUUAAAGAUAAAAGACUUAAAUAUUUUCCUUACGAUCGACGCGCCUUGCGGGAUCAGUGUUACAGGAUAAAUAAACUAGAUGUAAUUCAACGCUAAUAUUCAAUCACUCUCAAUGUAACCCUACUUUACAGUAAGAGGUUCUAUUUUGUUAAGAUAUUUCACAAUCACGCAGUAUGUGCUCAAAUAUUGUAAAGUCCUAAAAAUAAAUUUAACUGGCGUAUCGUAUAUUAGACAAGUACAUUAAGAAUAAGUUAUAUUUAAAAUAUUAAACCAACAAAAAAUAAUUUUAAUUAAAACAAAACAAAUGUUGCUCGACAGUUACAUCGUUCCAUUCGCACAAACUGUAAGUUAACAGAACAGUACAUACGAAAAAGCGCUUUCGCUUGUUAAGGUUGAUUUUACAUUUUUGUCGUUUUAUUCUGGCUUGUGACACUGUACCCCAUUUUACAUAUGAUAAUUAAUGCCUCAGGUUUCUCUGAUUAUUAAUGAGGCACGAAUAUAACGCUUAUUGUCUGCAUGUGAUUUUAAUAUAGUAGUGAAUACAAAAAAUAAUAUUAAGAUAUAUUUAUGAGAAAGAAGAAUAAAAAAAAAAACAAAAAAAAAAGAAAAAAAGAUGAGAAAAAGAAAAUAAAAAAAACUGAAUGCAAACCUCCUAAUUCUUUUAUCAUUGUGGCGACCAUCUUCGUUCUUUUUAAUGAAGCCAUUUGGUCUGUAGUCUUUUUUUUUGUAAUAAAUAAUAACUACUUUUUUAUAUAAUCUGUAUCCAUCUAUACAUUCUAUUGAAUAGGAAGGAAUAGUAUAAAAUAAAAACAUCGCAGUACAGUACGUUUGUUAGACUGCAAUACUGCACAAAUAAACAUUUUAAAUGAAGAGUUCAAUUUGAUUAAAUUAUUAAUUAGUUUGCUUAAUGUGAUAUGAUUAAUAUACAAUUGAACACUUUCUUCAACAGAAGAAAGUGUAACAGUUUGAUUAAAUUAUUGGUUAAUGUGAUUUUAGUAAUAAUUUUAUUGAAGUUAAAAUUUGAUUGAUUUCUGAUUGAACACUAUCUUUAACAGAAGAAAGUGUUCCAAUUUGAUUAAUUUAUUGAAGUUAAAAACGUGUUUUUUUUUAAAUCGUGAAGACUUGUUUUCAGCAAGGUAAUGAUAUUGUAUUCGCAAAUCCUAGAUUUUUUCUUUGUUAUAUACAGAUACUCCAACAUUACUACAUAUAUUUUAAUUGUAAGAUGGAAAGUGCUGUUAAUUUUCUCUUCUCAACCUAGCCUUUUACAUUGAUUUAUAGAGCUACUAAGAUCCUUAUAGCAGUAGGGUCGGCGCCACAGGUUUUUGUCCUCCACAUAACACUAUCAUAUGUCAUCUUAGUCAUCACUUCCUUUUUGAUCAUGUCACCUUUCACGCAAUCCAUCCAUCUCUUUCUAGGUCUACCUCUACUGGUGUACCCUUCCAAACUCAUAAAUAACAUUCUAUUAACAUUCGAUUCAUCCCUCAUAACAUUAUGGCAGUUUAUUGACAUAAAAACUAUGCUCAUUAUUUGCAAAUUACGACCUGUGUGCCCGUAGUAAUUGUUUACUAUUUUUAUAUGGAUAUAUUAUACAACCAAAUACAAGGUAGACUUUGUACUUUUUUAUAUAUAAUUUCAGAAUUAACAUCAUUAUCUCCCCUACCUUAUACUACUGCCCUAGUGUCGGUUUUUCGUCCUCCAACUGCCACAGGGUCCUUGUAGUUCUAUAAAUAAAUAUCUUUGUUUGCAAUGCAUGUAUCGUAGAAUAAGUAUACCUAAUUGUACGUUUAAUAAAGGAAUUUAAUGUAAAA